rnacentral:rRNA from 1 species
UACGGAGGAUGCAAGCGUUAUCCGGAUUUAUUGGGCGUAAAGCGAGCGCAGGCGGUUCCUUAAGUCUGAUGUGAAAGCCCACGGCUCAACCGUGGAAGGUCAUUGGAAACUGGGGAACUUGAGUGCAGAAGAGGAGAGUGGAAUUCCAUGUGUAGCGGUGAAAUGCGUAGAUAUAUGGAGGAACACCAGUGGCGAAGGCGACUCUCUGGUCUGUAACUGACGCUGAGGCUCGAAAGCGUGGGGAGCAAACAGGAUUAGA